rnacentral:misc_RNA from 1 species
AUACAAUUGCAUGUCCUGGCAGUACUGAUAACCUGCCUUCCUCUACCUUUUCCAUCCUUGGCACCCUCAAUAAUUCCUGGGAGGUCCAACAACUGAAUUUUAGCUCCCCGAUACAUGAUGACACCAGGAAUGCAAGUUAAGGUGGUAAAUUCGUAUGAAGCAACCUCAGAAAAAGUUCCUGUCAGUUUGUUCAAGAGAGUCGAUUUUCCAACUGAAGGAAAACCUACUAAACCAACUCUUGCAUCACCACUUUUUGUAACAUCAAAACCUUCUCCAGCUCCACCACCACCUUUUGACGUAGGUGUAAGAAGUUCCCUUCGAAGUUUCGCCAGUUUUGCCUUUAACAAACCGAGAUGAUGAGCAGUCGCUUUGUUCUUUUGGGUCUUAGCCAUCUCAUCUUCGAUAUCUUUGAUUUUCUGCAUGACGGUCGCCAUUGUUGCUGAUUUGAACGCCGGAGAGUUUCGCCGGAAGAGAAGGGCAAAAAGGGGUACUGUAAAGACAGCGCUGA